rnacentral:rRNA from 1 species
UACGGGGGGGGCAAGCGUUGUUCGGAAUUACUGGGCGUAAAGGGCUCGUAGGCGGCCAACUAAGUCAUACGUGAAAUCCCUCAGCUUAACUGGGGAACUGCGUGUGAUACUGGAUGGCUUGGAUUUGGGAGAGGGAUGCGGAAUUCCAGGUGUAGCGGUGAAAUGCGUAGAUAUCUGGAGGAACACCGGUGGCGAAGGCGGCAUCCUGGACCAAUAUUGACGCUGAGGAGCGAAAGCCAGGGGGGCAAACGGG